CACAGAGUGAGCGUGGAGCGAUCAUAGCACUGCACAGUGAGGGAUACUCCACGGCAGACAUAGCGAGACGGAUUGGCGUUUCUUAUCCCACGGCAGCACGAUGGAUAAGGCGUUACGAGGACAGAGGCCACACAGACAACUUGCAGAUGUUUGCCCGCCCCGCUAUCAUCGACAGCCUCCUCGGGAAUUUCAGCGUCAAUGGGCCAGCGAGCCUCCACCUGCACCCUGACGAGGACCCCAUCAACACAACCCUUGCCGUCUACAAUCGCUACCUUGGAGGUCUUAACCUCACCAAGGAAAAUGUUGACAACAUGACCCGGGUGACUUAAUAUACUAUGAGUGUAAAGGCCACGAAAUGCUAAAAACUUUAAGUUCAUACAUAAAGGGUAAUGAAAGUCUGGUGACAAGUACUGACAAUCCUGCCAUAGUCGCACAUGUUAUCUGGUUUAGUUGCUUUCUAUUCAUCUCAUCAAGAGUUCAUAAAUGUGUUGAUCUGGGCCACGGCAGGAUGGGGAUUUACAUAGAUUUACAAAGAAAAUCAGACCACACAGACCCCAUGGUCCAGACUUGGUGGUCUGUCCUUAAACCUAAGUGAUUUUACAUUAAUCAGAAGACUCCAAAACGUUGCAUUUCUACUCUAGUUGAUAUUAAGUUGAAGGAAGUGACGGUCGAGCUUUCGUGUUGAUACAGACAAGGAGCGCGUAUGUGCAAUAAUAAAGUCAGUAUUGUCAUAGCUUUGGAGUAUCUGCAGGAUUUAAUUUUCAUCUUAACUUGUGAACUAUUACAAUACCUUGUGUAGGCCAAUCGCCCUCUUGCAGUCUCCUUAUGUUCUUAUGUUUUUAUGUUCUUAAUAUCACUUUAAACUUGGCUGUUCCUUGCGCAGAUGUACACAGAAGCCAUGUUCCAUAUUCACUUCGACUGGGCAGUACAGCUGCUGAGCAGCAGCAACGCGGUGUAUAAAUACGAGCUGCACCAUCGUGGGGAACACAGUCUCGUUAAUUAAUGUCUUCCUGAAUGCUGGGCUGGACUUGCCAGAGGGAUACAACUGUAAGUCUUUUCUUCCUUUUCUGCAAUUACCACAGCUGGAUUAAUUUGGACUGGAGCAUCUUAUAUUCAGGAUAUCACGAGUUUUACACAGUAUUUCAUCCUCCUGUGAUGCUGAUUCUUGUCACAGAUUAUUUUAGACUGAAUAUGUUGGCCCACUCUGACAUGGGUUUACUUCAUACAAAGGUCAUCCAUCAAAACACAGGUUCAAAGACAAGAAGGCAGAGUUGCCGUCAAAUAGGACCACAGGCCACCCACUCCUCCAUUAUAUAGUUACAAAUGAAGAAAAUUCAGAAGAUGCAAAUGAGCUCUGUGUGAGAGAAACAUGUCAAUGAGGAGAAAUAAAAAUCUAAUAAAUCUUAUCCACCUCUGCCCCAUCUCUCCUGCUGCUCCUCCAGACGUUUGUCAUGGUGAUGAGUUGCAGUACUUCAUGUAUCUAGAAUAUGCUAGUCUGAACACACCCGAGGACCAAAUGCUUGGCCACUACUUUACCUCUAUGUGGACCAACUUUGCUAAAUAUGGAGGACUCCUUGGACUUCACGUGGGAGAUGACAGAGCCAACAAUGUUGUCACACCUCAAGAUCCUGCCUGAGCCUUUCAUGAAGACUGACCAGCGGGCGGGGGCGCGAGCCUUCUGGGAGUCGCUGCCUCUCAGGAUCAACAACCUCCUUAACCAUUAAGGGAAUACAGGUUGCUGUCCUCUGAAACCUCAACUCGACUCAUUCAGUCUGAGUGAUAAUUGGAUUCAUGUCUAAUUUUCAUAUCUUCUUUAAUAAAGAUCUUCAACAAAGCCA